ensembl:snoRNA SNORD42 Small nucleolar RNA SNORD42
GUGCAGAUGAUGUAAACUUUUUUUCCACUGAGUGAACUGAUGUUUCCAAAGGAACCACUGAUGCAC